ensembl:lncRNA
CGUAGAUUUCCUCUAUCCAACUGAAAUCCACAAUGCUUAAUCUUUGUUCAUCUCAUCGGCAAGAUUUCACCUUCUGAACCAUUCAACUCCACAUUGUCUCUCUUCAGAAACGAAAAACAAAACAAAACAACAACAAAAGAAGCCCCGAAACCCUAGGCAAAUAUAAAAAGAGUGACUCUGAUCAUGGUGUCUCUUCACAGCAGUAGAACAAUGACAAGGACAGUACCCAAAGCAAAUGACAUCAGUGUAUUGAUGACACCUUUGUAUUUUCUGUUUAUUGUUGGAAAAUUCAUCAAGAAAUGAGAAAAAUAAUGACUAGACCUGCUGUGGGGAGUCAUGAAGAAAGCCUUCACCUACGGAGCUGCAGCCUAAUGUCCUAUAGGAGGUCUCUGCCUUCCAAGUCACGACUACCACCCAGUCUGCCGCCACUGCAGCAGCAACUGCUGCCAUCAAGAUAAGGACAAUCUCUGAUGAUGUGUAGGAGGCUAAAAUGAAAAACUCAGGUGACAGCAGGUGCUGGCAAAGAUGUGGAAAAGGGGAACACUCAUCCAUUGCUUGUGGGACUGCAGGCUGGUACAAUCACUCUGGUAAUCCUUCUGGUGGUACCUCAGAAAAUUGGAAAUAGUUCUAUCUGAGGACCCAGUUAUACCACUCCUGGGCAUGUACACAAAAGAUACUCCAACAUAUAACAAGGACACAUGUUUCACUAUGUUCAUAGCAGC